UGCCCGAAGGGUGACGAAGCGACGCCGCGUGGGUGAGGAAGGCCUUCGGGUUAUAAAGCCCUGUCAGGAGUUAAGAAAUGUAGACUCGCUAAUAUCGGGUCUAUUUGACAAAGGCUCCAAAGGAAGCCACGGCUAACUCUGUGCCAGCAGCCGCGGUAAUACAGAGGUGGCAAGCGUUGUUCGGAAUUAUUGGGCGUAAAGAGCACGUAGGUGGAUUUGUAAGUCAGACGUGAAAGCCUUCUGUUCAACGGAAGAAUUGCAUCUGAAACUACAAACCUUGAGUGUAGGAGGGGAGAAUGGAACUUCUGGUGGAGCGGUGAAAUGCGUAGAUAUCAGAAGGAACGCCGGCGGCGAAAGCGGUUCUCUGGCCUAUUACUGACACUCAGUGUGCGAAAGCUAGGGGAGCAAACGGGAUUAGAUACCCCGGUAGUCCUAGCCGUAAACGAUGGGCACUAAGUAGAGGGGU
rnacentral:rRNA from 1 species